UACGGAGGGUGCGAGCGUUGUCCGGAAUCAUUGGGCGUAAAGGGCGCGUAGGUGGCCCGGCAAGCGUGCGGUGAAAGUCGGGGGCUCAACCCCCGAUCGGCCGUGCGAACUGCGGGGCUGGAGCACUGUAGAGGCGAGUGGAACUCCGGGUGUAGCGGUGGAAUGCGUAGAGAUCCGGAAGAACACCAGUGGCGAAGGCGGCCCGCUGGGCAGUGGCUGACGCUGAGGCGCGACAGCGUGGGGAGCAAACAGG
rnacentral:rRNA from 1 species